rnacentral:rRNA from 1 species
AUGACGGUGGCUGUGUGCCAUGUCAUGCCGGCGCUGGACGUCGCUCCUCCUCACACUCACACUCGCAUGCCGGCGCCGAUGACGCCCCCGCCGCGGCAGCUGGACAUGUGGAGCGCCAUCCAGGCCCCGGCCACCAAGCCCGAGCCGCCGGCGGUCAAGGCCAGGGCCGGCUACCCGAUGGCGACGGUGCGGCGGUCCAUGAGCCACGAGAGCCUGAGCCUCUGCACGGAGAGCCUCGGCUGCGAGACCGGCACCCGCGGCGACUUCCUCGACCUGGCGUCCCUCCUCUACGCGCCGCCACUGUCGUCCCACCAGAGCGAGGAUGCCGUCGCCCAAGAAGAAGAGCAGGAAGAGACGGCGGCCGGGGAGCUGAAGCUGAGCGCGGUGCAGUACCACCGCGCCCGGCCGCAGCGCGCGUUCCCGCCGCCGCUACCGUCCAUGUCGCGCCACCGCGGCGACGACGGCGGGCCGUGCUUGCGGGUGCGCCCGCACCGCCGUGACGGGCGCCUCGUGCUCGAGGCUGUGGCCGCGAAGCCCCAGGGGUACCUCCACGCGCAGCGCCAGGACGGCCGCCUCAAGCUCUGCUUCGUGGACUACUCUGCUUCGGACUCUGUCCUCGACCACCAGAAGCAGAGCAUGGUGCAACAGCAACAGCCAGGCCAAGAACAGAUGCUGCAAGAGAAGGAUGUUGAAGAAGUUGUCGACGACGAAGAAGAUGAAGUGGAGGAGGAGGGGGACGAGGUGGAGGUGGUGGACAGGGGAAUGAUGGUGGAGGUGGUGGCGGCGUCCGGCAAGGCGCAGCGGUGCUCCAGGAUCGUCAUCAACAAGUUCGUCGGCGGCGCUCCGGUCACCACCGACGACGUGAACACGAUCCCGUCCCCAUCGCGCAGCUUCAGAGCUACCGAGGACGAAUUAGCCGCUCCGACCGUGACGUCGGGGUUGCGCCGGGUGCCGUCGUCCACCACGACGCUGGCCGCCGCGGUGGCCGCCGCGUCCACUGGCAUGCAGUCCGACGAGGAGGACGAGGAAGAGGUUGAGGAGGAGAGCGCGUCGCUGCUGUUCACGUCGCGGGUGGGGGACAGGGAGGAGCUGAUGCAGAGCGUGCGGCGGUGCCGGCAGCUCCGGCAGAGGCCGCUCUUCAUCGUGGAGUCAUACUCCAUCAUCGCCGCCUGA